rnacentral:rRNA from 1 species
UACGUAGGGUGCAAGCGUUGUCCGGAAUUAUUGGGCGUAAAGAGCUCGUAGGCGGUCUGUCGCGUCGGCUGUGAAAACCCGGAGCUCAACUCCGGGCCUGCAGUCGAUACGGGCGGACUGGAGUUCGGCAGGGGAGACUGGAAUUCCUGGUGUAGCGGUGAAAUGCGCAGAUAUCAGGAGGAACACCGGUGGCGAAGGCGGGUCUCUGGGCCGAUACUGACGCUGAGGAGCGAAAGCGUGGGGAGCGAACAGG